rnacentral:rRNA from 1 species
GACGUAGGGUCCGAGCGUUGUCCGGAGUUAUUGGGCGUAAAGCGCGCGCAGGCGGCCUCGCGCGCCCGACGUGAAAGCCCCCGGCUUAACCGGGGAGAGUCGUUGGGGACGGCGGGGCUUGAGGGCGGGAGAGGUCGGUGGAAUUCCCGGUGUAGUGGUGAAAUGCGUAGAGAUCGGGAGGAACACCUGUGGCGAAGGCGGCCGACUGGGCCGACCCUGACGCUGAGGCGCGAAGGCGUGGGGAGCGAACGGG